CCUACGGGAGGCAGCAGUAGGGAAUCUUCCACAAUGGGCGAAAGCCUGAUGGAGCAACGCCGCGUGGGUGAAGAAGGUCUUCGGAUCGUAAAACCCUGUUGUUAGAGAAGAAAGUGCGUGAGAGUAACUGUUCACGUUUCGACGGUAUCUAACCAGAAAGCCACGGCUAACUACGUGCCAGCAGCCGCGGUAAUACGUAGGUGGCAAGCGUUAUCCGGGUUUAUUGGGCGUAAAGGGAACGCAGGCGGUCUUUUAAGUCUGAUGGGAAAGCCUUCGGCUUAACCGGAGUAGUGCAUUGGAAACUGGGAGACUUGAGUGCAGAAGAGGAGAGUGGAACUCCAUGUGUAGCGGUGAAAUGCGUAGAUAUAUGGAAGAACACCAGGGGCGAAGGCGGCUCUCUGGUCUGUAACUGACGCUGAGGUUCGAAAGCGUGGGUAGCAAACAGGAUUAGAUACCCGAGUAGUC
rnacentral:rRNA from 1 species